rnacentral:lncRNA from 1 species
AGGCUACAGUCCAUGGGGUCUCAAGAGUUGGACAUGACUGAGGGACAGCACGUACACAUACCUCUCAAAUUAAGCACCCAGUAACAGACCAGACGCAAACGGCAUCUGAUUAAGACAGAAUUCACACAGAUGUAGAAAAAAUAUUGUCAGUACACUCUUAAAUCCAGAUAACUAGAAUAAUGGAUGGAAACAAAAACAUUAGAAAUUCAAGCAAAACAUAAGACUAACAUAGUUCAGAGUUAAUCCUUGCUUUAGGAGUAUGAUGGUCAGAGCCAUGAGGAAAUGAGAUUAUAAAGUCGGAAGUCAGAAUAAAUGGUUCUCUUAAUAUUGUUUUCAGAAUGAGUCAGAACAAUUAAGGGGCCAGUGGCACAAUGGAUAAGACCACAGAAUGAGUCAGAACGUCCUAGUCAUAAAGUUUUCCACUUGCAGGCAACUAGAUUGAAUCAAGUCCUGAUGGUGACUGGUUUCUGAUCAGUUGCUAGGACAACUUAGAGCAUCCUAGUACAGAAUGAUGGGCUAUCGGCCGCGGAAACAUCUCCAUUUCUUCAAAUACCUGCUUCCCAAAGAUUUUGAUCCUCAAAAAGGAAUCUGGCCAAAGGAAAAUGAGACAGUUCUGGAGAUGCUGGUGUCAGAGCAAGAGGCAUGAGACUCAGGGGACAGGUGAGGAGACCAUGACUUCUGGUUGCUCAUCAACAUCUUCUUUGUCUAAGUAACUAGACAGUACUUUAGAAUUUCAGAGAAAUGAGAUAGAAAUAGACAACCUGCAAUGGAAAAUAUAAAAAUCAGUGUUUUCUAACAAGUGAAAUUGUAUUCAGUAAAAUUAAUAGUUAAGUAAAAUUUCAUAAAACAAAAGGCUUUUUGUUUUCUCCUGUUUGUUUAUGCUUUUGAUGCCAUUUUGCUGGAGUGUGUUCAGAAAAUAAUUGAAGUCUAAAUCAAGGAGUACAAAAGCACUCAUGAAACACAGGCACUAGAAAAAAUAAUUCUGCUAAAUAGCCUAGAAACGGCUGUGGAUUUAAUUCUCCUAAAUGUGGUUAAAAAUAACCACAAACCGCAGCAUAAGGCAGAAUGGCAUCAGUGCAGGGAUUAGCAAUCCUGGGUGGUUUGGCCACGUUUGGUGUAGCCUACCUGCAUCUCUGGUCCUUGCAGUCUCUGGGCACUAGAGUCAUCCAAAGAUGGUAGGGACUUUAAUAAUUAUGAGGCUGUUGCUGCUGCUGCUGCUGCUGCUGCUGAUAGUGAUGGCUCAC